GCCCCGGUAGUACAGUGGUUAUCACAUGCUCCCGGAAAGGGUGAAAUGCGGGUACGACACCCGUCUGGGAUU